UCCUCUUGGUUCUCAGGAGGGACCCUUUAACAUCCUUGAGAACAUAAAAAUCUUAACAAAGCAAGCACUAUGUUUGCAGUCCUUCUCCUGAAUAUGCAAAUUCUUUCUCAGAAUGUAGAUUUACAUCAACCACAUGCUUCAGAGUUCCCUAGCAAAAAAACAAACAAACUCCAGAAUACAUAUGUUUGCAUCAUAGAAGUAUAAAGCUAUGAGAAGCAUUGUAAUGUAUACUCACUUCGAGCAAACUAACAGCCACCGUAAUUCUUUCAAUUUGAAUUUAAUCUUGGCAUUGUUGUUGAUGAACUGCCUGAUUGGGAAGCAGAUUUUUCCUUCUGCACAAGCUUUCAGUCCAGGAUUAUCCAAAAACAUUUAUCCUAACCUAAGAAAUCAUAUUAACCAAUGAAUAUGAAGCCUGGAAGAAAAAAAGAGACACAGUAUAGCUAUAAGUGUACGUAUUCUGGAGUUUCUAUCUCACCAUAACCGAGAGCUCCUGCAUAAUGGCGGCAUAUCAGGAUCUUUCUGGUGGCCGCCCUAAAGUUUACGUCGGAUGAUGAUGGACUGCAGACCUUCUUGGUGACAUGAAGGCAAGGUGCUGCGCCCGCAGCCAAAAGCAAACAAGGAAGUCGACAGCUAUGAAUCAGCAGCGCCAACCCGCCACGCUUUGGAACCAUGACCUCAUCUUCCUAUGUCGGCGAUUAGGCCAGCGCCGCCGCUGUCCGCUCCUCCCUCUCUCUUAUCUCUCCCUUUCUCUCCCCCAUCUCUCUUCCAAGGCGGGCGCACGGGACGGGAGGCAUCCCUCACCUUGAUCCAGAAGGCGCGCGGCAGCGGAUGGAUCGGUGGCGGGGCGACGAACACAGCCGCCACUGGCGGCGACUUUUCCUGGAGAGAGAUGGGGUCGGGGUCGGGAGCGAGUUGGGAGUUGGGAGUUGGGGGGAGGCGGAGACGUGAGUGCGUGUUAGCGACAGUUUUUUCCUCUCUGUGUUCGGUCGGGGAUGGGAGGAAGUGUGGGCUGGUUUCUGGGCCACGUCCAACACGGGGUGGGUUGCUUUUUUAUGCGCAGGAGGAAGGCAGUAUCGAUGGUACGUGGGCUUGCGGGCUGGAUAUUGUGCGGGCGUGUGGGACAUCGAGCGAUGGCUGUUGUACGAGGCGGGGGAUCGAACGAGGUGGUCGAACCAUCACGGCGUUCGAUUCCCCUAUAAUAGUAGAGAUGUAGCCCAUAUCGAAAUCUCUAAAACGACUUAUAUUUAGAAACGGAGGGAGUACAAUAGUAACUAUUCUAACAAACAGUCGUUCUUGCAUGUCAUUUAGUUUUGCACUAUGACAAAAGUACAUAUAAUGACUUUUUGGCAAGUUCUGUACAGAGGAUAGUCACACCUACUUGAUGAUGUGAGAUGUUGAAGCUGUUCUUGCCGGGUACUGCAAAAUUAAGAACAAAGCAAUAAAUCACCAUAGAAAAACAAAGUGCACUGUGUAAUUAUGAAUCAAUAAGUCAAGCAAUAAAUGACGCUAGUGGUUCGCGAUAGAUGAAGAGAAGGCCAAAUCUGGAAUACCAUCACGUGAACAUGACUACAUGAGGGAUUAGAACCAAGAAACGAGGGAUUCUCACCAGCGAGCUUCUGAUUCGCUACCAUCACGUAGAAUGUCUACCUCAUCUUCCUGCUCACAUUCGUCUUCCUUCCAAUGCAACACCAGCUAGUCCAACGCAACAGCAG
rnacentral:lncRNA from 1 species